rnacentral:sRNA from 1 species
AGCUGUGAGGAACCAUUCGAUGCGAUGCGGCUGCCAGACCUAAUUGCCUGUGUUUCUCCUCACAUAAAAUGCAGUGGUUAAUGCGAUGUUCAUUUCUCUGGAAGUCUUGUGUGGGCUGAGGAGGCGGCUGUAACAUGUGCAAGCCUGCUGUAGAGAAUAGCAAUGAGGAACCGGAUCCUAUGACGGCUCCAUUAGGCGAGCGUCAGGAACAAGCGUGCCACAGAUUCUUCCUACGUAGUUCAAGCUGAUCUGAGAUUCGAGAUCCUUCUGCCUCCCCUCAGAGUGCUGGACCUAGAGGAGUGGCUCCCCACAUCUCAGUUUCUCCUACUUCUUGAGGUUCAGAGCUUCCUAUGAGCUGGCUGCUCAGAAGCCUUUACUAUAAGUGGGAAGCCCACCCUUCUUCUCUGGCUAAGAAGUUCCUUGGUGUAAACAUCAUUUUAUCUGAAGCGUUCACUGAACACGGAGAAGCAGACACCGUGUGGAUGAAUUUCUAACUUGGGAUUUUUGGUGACCAGGUUGCCGUGUGUAAGUUUGGUUUCCACUUGCUUGGCUCUCUUUCACACAGCCUGUUCUGUAUCAUCUUAUGGCGUCUCCUUACAGAAUUCCAGGGGAGUUGCGGACGCCUCCAUGCUAGGCAAGUAUUCUACCUCUGGGCUACAUCCACAACCCUGGAACAUGGAGAUCAGAUGCAGCCAUCCUGCACCUGCAUUGCACGGCCACAACAGAAAACCUCUGCAGGGACCCCUUGUGGGUGGGGCAGCAUAGAUGACACCUUUCUGAUGAACAGAAACUGAGAGGAGGGAUGAGCUGUCCUUUGAGAGACUCAGUUACAGGCAUAGGAUGGUCACAUGCCAGAGUAGGCAGAGCAAGGAAGCUAGCACAUGACAGCAAGCAGGUGGGUGGUCUCCAGCUCUCUCAGAGCCUGUGAGCCCUGUCAAAGUGAGACCUUAUUUGCUCUUCUGCAGCCUCCUGGGAAAUCUGCUGUGUCCCCAGGCUCCCAGCAUGCCUCUAGACUGUGGUGCUGGUUUCUGACCUUGACUUGAAGACCUGAUAACCCAACAUGGUUCUUUCACCAGCAGUUAGCAUUUGAACACUGAAGUGCCACCAAACAGAAGAGGGCAAAGGCUGGAAAACAACGGCUUCCUGUAGUUGUUAGUGAAAAUUUUAAGAGUGGUAAGUUUUUCUUUAUCCCAGCUGGCUCCCAAGGAAAUGAGACAGAGACUGUAAGAUGUAUUUAAUCAAGCUUUAUGGCACAAUAGCUGAGCAGUAUCAAUCUAUUUUUAUCCUCUAAGCUAAUCUGGCUCCCUCCCAGCUAAAAUCUCUGAGAUACAUGCAUUUUAGUAUCGAUUGGGCUCUCUCUGCUCCAGGUGUGUCCCCAUGGUGUCUCCUGGACCCUUUCCUCAUGGCGAAUCCUUCCUUCUCUUUCUCUCCC